UGGGGAAUUUUGCGCAAUGGGGGAAACCCUGACGCAGCAACGCCGCGUGGAGGAUGAAAUCCCUUGGGAUGUAAACUCCUUUCGAUCGGGAAGAUAAUGACGGUACCGAGAGAAGAAGCCCCGGCUAACUUCGUGCCAGCAGCCGCGGUAAUACGAGGGGGGCAAGCGUUGUUCGGAAUUAUUGGGCGUAAAGGGUGCGUAGGCGGUUUGAUAAGUCACAUGUGAAAUCUUCGGGCUCAACCCGAAGUCUGCAUGCGAAACUGUCGGGCUUGAGUAUGGGAGAGGUGAGUGGAAUUUCCGGUGUAGCGGUGAAAUGCGUAGAUAUCGGAAGGAACACCUGUGGCGAAAGCGGCUCACUGGACCAUAACUGACGCUGAUGCACGAAAGCUAGGGGAGCAAACAGG
rnacentral:rRNA from 1 species